CCCCCGUCUGGAGGCGAGACAGAGGGAGGGGAGGAUGACAGGUGAAACAGGAAGUGAACAGAUGAGUAGGAACAGGGUGGUUGUGCUCGACAGUUGCAGUAAUUGAACCUCGUCUGCCUGACGAAAAAAAACGGUUAUGAAUUCUGAGAUUCUGAUGUUAAUGCUCUAUUAUUUUCUAACAGAAAUCUUGUGGUAUCACACUGAACUCUGACUGUUCCCGGCUCCAGUCAGCAAAUCACUUUAUCCUUAUCCUUAUUCAGUUAUUUGAACCAUUUAACUCUGUUUCAGAGAGAAUGUAGAAAGAAGACUAAGAUGUCCUCAUCAGAAAUGUUGCUGAAGAGACUUUCAGCUUUGUUUGUGUACAACACGUAAAACGUGGGGCCGACCUUGUGAAGCAGCUUCCUGCGGAGGUGCCUCCCCAGCAGGCCGUGCAUCGGCUCCUGGUCCCAGCGAAGAGUCACCCAGCGGAAGUGCUGCUGGAGGCGGAGCUCGGAGCCCUGCAGCCGUGGCCUCGACAGCGUGGCGAUCAAGAAACUGCCCUCACAGAAAUGGUGGGGACCUGAGCGACCAAUGGAUAGGGAAACUGGGUUGAUUCAUUUUGCGUUACUGUUAUUUGGCGGCACGACAUGACACUUAUGACGUAAUUAGUUUCAGGACAGUCUAAGAAUUAUCUUGUAUAUUCGGUGCAUUUGCUUGUACAAUUAUUCUGUUUCAUGACACUGAUGUAGGGCUGCAACUAACGAUUAUUUCAUCAUCGAUUAAUCGAUUAGUUGUUUGGUCCAUAAAGAGUCAUAAAAUGGGGUGAAGAAUGCCAAAGUGUUCCCCAAACUCCCAAGACGACGUGUAGUUUUGUCCACACACGACAGAUAUUUAGUUUACUGCAUAGAGGAGCAAAGAAACCAGAAAAUAUUCACAUUUAGGAAGCUGAAAUCAGAGAAUUUUUACUUUUUUACUCCAGUAGUAGUAAGCAAUUAAUUUAGCCGUCGAUCAUUAACUGUUGCAGCUCUACUGUGAUGUGUUAAUAUCACUAAUCCUGCAAGAAACUGCCGCAUCUGAGGACAUGGAACUGAAUUAUAACUUUUGUAAGAUAUAGUAACCUGAACGGUGCAUCUAGCAAAAUUAUACUUUGUUUGAAAGAUCUAUGUAUGUAUUUGUAUUUUUGAGUGUCCAAAUCACUGCGACAACGGCUGACAGACGUGGUUCAGUCUCACGGCUACAGAUCCAACAUGUGUUGGUCCAACACUACGGGCCUAUUAUUUUCAUAAAAAAUUACUUUUGAAAAAAAUUGUUGUAUUGACAGACGCCUGACGUAUUUAUCUGUUGCCUGCGGCCGGCAGUAAUGCUGGUUAGUAAAAUGUUUUUGUAUGUGAAGUGGGACUGUUGCAUCGGCAUAUUUUACUCUGGGUCGAGUCUGUCACCACUGCCGGCUACCGUAACUGAUCAGACUGAUCAGGCCCAGAGUCUGGCUGCAGGCGUACCAGUGUUGAGGACCAGCGGUGAAGCGGAGCCCCUGUUGUCCAGGCUGUGGCAGAGGUCUCCCAGCAGGCCGGUGAGGGACGACGCCUUCUCCAGCCCUUCCAGGAGCACGACCACACAGCGACCAGAGCGACCACGGGACAGACCCCCAGCCCCCGCCGCCGGCACAAGGAAACCUGAGACGGAGAGGAGAGGGAGGCAUGAGGCGUGGGAGGCAGGGGGUGGAGACGUGUCUGGCUUUUUUAUUACAUCACAUACAUUGUGAUAGUAUGCUGUAUAUUAUUAUUAUUCCUUUUUUUCAUAACCAAGUGCUAUCAUGGUUAAGUAGUUAUGAUCAAGUUGAAUUACUUUGGUUAAGAAAAUGUCAGAAAAUAGUGAAAGUGCAGUUUCUUUUUCAAAAGGCAGAAGACAAAGAUUAAACCAGAUUUGGAAUCAGAGCAAUUGAUUGUAAAAUCUGAAAUCUAUCAAUGGGUAUGACAAAUCAACUAACUGAUUCAACAAUUCAUUGUUUCAAUGAAGACGUGCAAAAAACAACGCAUCUGAAAAAACCCUUUGCUUUGCUAUGUAAAACCUGUACAUGGAUGUACAGUAUUCAUUCGUGUGUGUGUCUUAUUACCACAGGUGAUGAAGGUCUCCAGCAGCUGCUCUUUGGUCAGGCUUUCCUCCACCUCCACCCUCACCACGUCACAGCCGAGCCCCCCCGCCUCCUGCUUGGACUGGGAGACGGAAAGAGAGAGAGGGGAGGGGCGAGAUGAGCGACGAGAUAGAGAGAGAGGCGAGGAGGAAGCACAUCUCCAUGGAAACAAAAGGAAAUCUACUACUACUACUACUACUGUAUGCGCAGAGUAAAGUGGAGCAGGAGGAGAAUUUGAAUGAGUACAAAGGGCUCUUCUUCUGCCGAAGGGAAUCACGAUGCUGCUUCACUCUCCUUUGUUUCUCCUACUGUCGCACAGCAGCCAGUUUAUUAGGAACGUGCAGUCCUGAAAUAAUCCUCCCCUCAUGAAGGUUACGACGUUUGUGUUCAUUAAACUCUGUGAUCGUAAUGUAAUGUUCCUAUUAUGUCACACCACUCUACACAUUGUAAUACAUGUGAACAGCACCACAAACAACUCUUAACUACACAUUAUCACCUUCAUGAAGGAUUAUUAUGUUAGAAUAUUAGUGUUAGUUAGGUCUCCCCCCCACAGAUACUGGGUGUAAAGUCUUUUUUUAAAGAGGACAAUGGCAAUAAAAAAAUGUUUUUACAUUCUUUUGAAAAUGUAUAUGAGAACCAUCUUGAUCAUCUUGUCAUGUAAUCGAGAAAAAAAGGGUAUUUCUUCAUCUGUUCAUAUCAGAUUUCUGUGCCUGUGUGAGGCCGUUAUCAUGGUAACACCUCAGGCCGAGCACUGCAGUGAUUCUAUCAGCUUUUUUAUGAAAACACAACCACUGACUGCUAUCAGUGUAAAUUAUGAAAUUGGUGAUAUAGUUUAUUACGAGUCCCUGACCUGUGGAUGUACUUUACUGAAGCAGGACUAUGUUUCAUCAUGUUGCGGUGAUAUAGAAUCUACCAGUUAAUUUGUAUCUUAUAUUGAACAACAGCUGCUCUGCACAUUAUUGUAUAUAGUGUUUGUAGUUGUUAUUGCAUAGUAUUUAGUAUCUGAUUUACUUUAGAUCCUGUUUCUAUUCCACUUUUAUGUUUCUUUUAUGUUUCUUUCAAAAUCAAUAAAGGUUCAUCUUAUAAUAGUGA